GAAUGUUAUUCUUACUUUUAAUUGUUUUCUGAAACCCUUAAAGUACGGAUCAGCAAAUUUCCUGUAAUAAGCCAAAGAGUAAAUAUUUAGGCUGUGUGGACUAUAUAUUCUACUACCGACUCUGCCAUUGUAUGUUGAAAGCGGCCAUAGACAAUAUGUAAAUGAAUGGGUGUGGCUGUGUUUCAGUAAAACUUUAUUUACCAAAAGUCUGUGAUCCUGGAUUAGCCCCUUGGCUGGAGUUUGCUGAUACCUGCAUUGAAGGAAAAUCUGAGAUGAAAACUCUUUACUUACUAAUAACUAUCUUUUAUCAACUUCAUUUAUAUGGUUGAUCAUAAUAUUCUUGUCAUUCUUGGUAAUAUUGAAUACAUAUAUUUUAAAAAAAUGCAUGAGUCACCUGAAAGGAAGGAGGUUGAGAAAUCAGAUAUAUGGCCUGAUGAACUGAAAUGAGACUAGCGAUCUUCUCUUGGAAAUCUUUAGGGUUAAGAAUUUGUGAUCUUCAGGUUUCAGUGAGUAGCCUGUUGGACUUAGUUCUCUGUGGAAAAACAGGCCUGAAGCAGUGGGAGUCUGCAGUUAACCUCCCAUCAUUUUCAGGGUCAAAGGUGGAUUCAUGCACCUCCAGCUGGCAGUGAGGUAUGGGCAAGCCAGGCCUCAGCCACUCACAGGGCCUCAGUUUUCCCAUUUGCACAGGGAGAAGGGAAGUUUCCACGGCCCUGUCGUGGUGAUGGGGUGGGUCGUCUGAAUCUGGGUCAGGUGAAGUCUAGGUGCUGCUAUACCUUCCCCUACCUGGGCUUUUGUUUCAUUUCAUUGUUACCUUUUAACCUUACCUGCUUUCCAAGAGAGGUUUUAUGUUUUCUUUUUUUUAGGGUCAGGGUCUUGUAGAGUGCAGUGGUACAAUUACAGCUCACUGCAGCCUCUAACUCCUGGGUUCAAGUGAUCCUCCCACCUUGUUUGUUUAUUUAUUUUAAUUAUUACUUUUUUUCAGACAGAGUCUCACUCUCACCCAGGCUGGAGUGCAGUGGCGUGAUCUCUGCUUACUGCAACCCCUGCCUCCUAGGUUCAAGCGAUUCUCCUGCUUUAGCCUCCCAAGUAGUUGGGGUUACAGGCAUGUGCCACCACUCCCUGCUAAUUUUUUGUAUUUUUAGUAGAGACAGAAUUUCACCGUGUUAGCCAGGAUGGUCUGAAUCUCUUGACCUCGUGAUCUACCCGCCUUGGCCUCCCAAAGUGCUGGGAUUACAAGCAUGAGUCAGUACGCCCGGCCUUUUUUUUUUUUUUUUUUUUUUUGGUAGAGACAUGGUCUUGUUAUAUUCUCCGGGCUGAACUCCUGGGCUCAUCUGCCUCAGUCUCCCAAAGUGCUGAGAUUACAGGCAUGACCCACUCCACCUGGCCAAGAUUUCAUAUUUUCUAAUUGCUUCACGUAUUGAAUGGAAAAUAAUAUGACAAUGAUAGCAGAAGUAAAGAAAGUCACAUGAGAGUCUACCACCUAAAACAUAACUUCCUUUUUCUUUGUUGUUGCCUGGUUUGGGCCUUAUGUAUUUGUUAUUGUUUCUCUUAAAGGAAAAAAAAGGGGAGAGACUGCUUAAACUGAUUGCAAUUAAAAAAAAGGAAUUAAAAAAAAGAACUUAUUAUCUUCUGCAUCAGAUUAUUCCACAGUAAAGUUGACUAGAAAUAAGAGAUAGUUGUUUGUGGUAAAGCAGAAUCAUUACUGUUUUAUUUAAUUCAAUUUCUCUGUGUUGGGUGGGUAGACUUCUUCAGAAGAAAUUUAAUAAACUAACUUUUUUUUUGGCCUUUUUGCUGCUAUGUUAAGCAACUAUGAAGUUUUUUUAACCUUUUCAUCACAGUACCAGUGCUCCAAAUGGUCACUUUGAUCAGAGUUCUUAACUUUAGUGUUUUUUAAAAGAAGUACAGUGAUCAAAAUUAGAUCCCCAUACUUGAAUAAAUUUGACUACUUAUUUAAUGAGAAUGUAAUUUAUAAAUUAUGUGCUGCAUAAAUAUGGUUUAUGUUAAUAAGUUUAUGCCUGAUAUUUAUUGAGGAGUAUAAAACCAUUUCUUUAGUUUUCUAGGUUGUAUUUUUUGCUCAUUCUGUCUAAAUUUUACUUAAAAAAUUAAAUCCUAGGAUUCUAGCAGUAGAUUACUUAUCCAAUAGUAAGGGCACAGCUAAACACUUAAAGUUAAGCAUAAAAACCUCUGCAUAUCCAAAAUGGAUAUACACUCUCUAAAGCCUGAGUGUAUGUAAUAGAGUAUGCAUAUUCUGGAUAUAAUAAAAGUGUUAUCAAAUCAGAACAGUGUUUAGAAACAGCUAAAGAAAGGAAGGGAAAAGGUAGGAAGCUAUUGUAAGCAAGUACAUAGGCAAGUAAGAUAUAAUAGAUGACUUUCUGAUAGACAGCAAUAAGAUUGAAAAGCCUUAGAAAGUGUUUACAUAUAGAAUUCCUCCAAAUCAUAACCCUUGUGACUACUACACAUAGCAAAAAUUGUUUUUAGAAUGCCAAAACACUGUGAAAUAAUUGAUAUCGAUUUCCAUGGGAGGUUUAAAUUGGAAGACAAGUGUGAAAUACAUUUAGAAGUUCUAUUGAGAAGAAGCAAUUUCUCCGCUCCUUCUGGAAUCUCUCCCUGGUUCAGCCCGCCUGCCUCCACUCCUGCCUCCACCAUGUCCAUCAGGGUGACCCAGAAGUCCUACAAGGUGUUCACCUCUGGCCCCGGGGCCUUCAGCAGCCGCUCCUUCACGAGUGGGCCCAGUGCCUGCUUGAGCUCCUCGAGCUUCUCCCGAGUGAGCAGCAGUGGCUUCCGGGGUGGCCUGGGUGCAGGCUAUGCUGGGGCCAGUGGCAUAGGCAUGGGAGGCAUCACUGCUGUCAACAUCAACCAGAGCCUGCUGAACCCCGUUAAGGUGGAUGUGGACCCCAACAUCCAGGCCGUGCGUAUCCAGGAGAAGGAGCAGAUCAAGACCCUCAACAACAAGUUUGCUUCCUUCAUCGACAAGGUGCAGUUCCUGGAGCAGCAGAACAAGAUGCUGGAGACCAAGUGGAGCCUCCUGCAGCAGCAGAAAACGGCUCGGAGCAACAGGGACAUCAUGUUUGAGAACUAUAUCAACAACCUGAGGCGGCAGCUGGAGACUCUGGGCCAGGAGAAGCUGAAGCUGGAGGCGGAGCUUGGCAACAUGCAGGGGCUGGUGGAGGACUUCAAGAACAAGUAUGAGGAAGAGAUCAAUAAGCGGACAGAGAUGGAGAAUGAAUUUGUCCUCAUCAAGAAGGAUGUAGAUGAAGCUUACAUGAACAAGGUAGAGCUGGAGUCUUGCCUGGAAGGACUGACUGACGAGAUCAACUUCCUCAGGCAGCUGUAUGAAGAGGAGAUCCAGGAGCUGCAGUCCCAGAUAUCUGACACAUCUGUGGUGCUGUCCAUGGACAACAGUGCUCCCUGGACAUGGACGGCAGCAUUGCUGAGGUCAAGGCGCAGUACGAGGAGAUUGCCAACUGCAGCCAGGCUGAGGCGGAGAGCGUAUACCAGAUCAAGUAUGAGGAGCUGCAGACGCUGGCUGGGAAGCACGGGCAUGACCUGCGGCAUAUGAAGACUGAGAUCUCCGAGAUGUACUGGAACAUCAGCCGGCUUCAGGCUGAGAUCGAGGGCCUCAAAGGCCAGAGGGCUUCCCUGGAGGCCGCCAUUGCAGAUGCUGAGCAUCGCGGGGAGCAGGCACUCAAGGAUGCUCAUGCCAAGCAGCAGGAGCUGGAGACCGCCCUGCAGUGGGCCAAGCAGGACAUGGCAAAGCAGCUGCGUGAGUAGCAGGAGCUGAUGAAUGUCAAACUGGCUCUGGACAUCGGGACCGCUACCUACCACAAGCUACUGGAGGGCGAGGAGAGCCGGCUGGAGUCUGGGAUACAGAACAUGAGUAUCCACACGAAGACCACCAGCGGCUAUACAGGUAGUCUGAGCUCUGCCUAUGGGUGCCUCACAAGCCCCGGCCUCAGCUACGGCCUGGGCUCCGGCUUUGGCUCUGUCACGGGCUCCAGCUCCUUCAGCCACACCAGCUCCACCAAGGCUGUGGUUGUGAAGAAGAUUGAGACCCGCGAUGGGAGGCUGGUGUCCGAGUCCUCUGACGUCCUGCCCAAGUGAACAGCUGCAACAGCCCCUCCCAGCCUGCCCCUCCUGAGGCUGCCCCAGAGCCCAGGAGGGAAGCUGCUGUGCAGGGGAGUGCAGGGAACAGGAGACCUACCUGACGCUCAGCCCUAGCCCUCAGCCCACCAGUGGGGAGUUUACUGCCUGGGGACCCCCCCUUGCCCAUGCCUCCAUCUGCAAAACAAUUCAAAUGCUUUUUUUUUUUUUUUUUGGUCCAAAAUAAAAUCUCAGCUAGCUC